rnacentral:rRNA from 1 species
CAGUCGCCGCGGUAAUACGGAGGAUCCAAGCGUUAUCCGGAUUUAUUGGGUUUAAAGGGUGCGUAGGUGGCCUGUUAAGUCAGGGGUGAAAGACGGUAGCUCAACUAUCGCAGUGCCUUUGAUACUGACGGGCUUGAAUGAACUAGAGGUAGGCGGAAUGUGACAAGUAGCGGUGAAAUGCAUAGAUAUGUCACAGAACACCAAUUGCGAAGGCAGCUUACUAUGGUUUUAUUGACACUGAGGCACGAAAGCGUGGGGAUCAAACAGGAUUAGAUACCCCAGUAGUCCCUGUCUCUUAUAA